rnacentral:lncRNA from 1 species
UUUAACAAUAAAUAUUUAGGCACUAGGAACUGAUGAUUCGAGCACAACAAUUGACUACACUAACUCACGGCAAUCAAGCAAAUUCACGAUUGGUAAACCAGCUAAAAAAAGCAAGGCUUGGAUUGUCCAGAAGAAAGACAAACGUAAAAGACAAGGAAGAUGUGAGAGCUGACUCUAAAUAUUCUGGUAGAAAGCGAAAACCGCAAUUUUAAAAAAUCCUAAAUAUGUUUCGGAUUUAGUAAUCCAGUUAAAUGGGGUUGUGGAAUAUUUAUCAAUCUGAACCUACAGAGUGAAGAUUUUUAUUGAAAAAAAAAAAU